UAGUCCACGCCGUAAACGUUGCGCACUUGGUGUGGGAGGUAUUGACCCCUUCCGUGCCGUAGCUAACGCGUUAAGUGCGCCGCCUGGGGAGUACGGUCGCAAGAUUAAAACUCAAAGAAAUUGACGGGGGCCCGCACAAGCGGAGGAGCAUGUGGCUUAAUUCGAUGCAACGCGAAGAACCUUACCAGGGUUUGACAUUUAGCUGCACGCCCCAUGAAAGUGGGGAAGCUUUUGAAGGUGCUAAACAGGUGCUGCAUGGCUGUCGUCAGUUCGUGCCGUGAGGUGUUUGGUUAAGUCCAGCAACGAACGCAACCCUUGUGUCUAGUUGCCAACAGGUAAUGCUGGGAACUCUAGACAGACUGCCCGUGCAAUCGGGAGGAAGGUGGGGAUGACGUCAAGUCAGUAUGGCCCUUACACCCUGGGCUGCACACGUGCUACAAUGGCCGGUACAGAAGGAUGCAAUACCGCGAGGUGGAGCAAAUCCUCAAAGCCGGCCCCAGUUCGGAUUGGAGUCUGAAA
rnacentral:rRNA from 1 species